AUUGAACGCUGGCGGCAGGCCUAACACAUGCAAGUCGAGCGGAGCGGCGGACGGGUGAGUAAUGCCUAGGAAUCUGCCUGGUAGUGGGGGAUAACGUCCGGAAACGGGCGCUAAUACCGCAUACUAUCAGAUGAGCCUAGGUCGGAUUAGCUAGUUGGUGGGGUAAAGGCCUACCACGGCGACGAUCCGUAACUGGUCUGAGAGGAUGAUCAGUCAAAGGUGAACUGAUACACGGUCAAGACUCCUACUGGAGGCAGCAGUGGGGAAGAUUGGACAAUGGGCGAAAGCCUGAGCCAGCCAUGCCGCGGGUGUGAAGAAUGGCUUCGGAGUGUAAAGCACUGUAAGUUGGGAGGCGUUACCAACAGAAUAAGCACCUGCUAACUUCGUGCCAGCAGCCGCGGUAAUAC
rnacentral:rRNA from 1 species